AGGAAGGUGGGGAUGACGUCAAGUCCUCACUGGCCCUUAUGUCCAGGGCUACACACGUGCUACAAUGGGCGGUACAAAGGGUCGCAAACCCGUAAGGGGGAGCAAAUCCACUUAAAGCCGUCCUCAGUUCGGAUUGAGGUCUGCAACUCGACCUCAUGAAGCUGGAAUCGCUAGUAAUCGCGGAUCAGCAUGCCGCGGUGAAUACGUUCCCGGGCCUU
rnacentral:rRNA from 1 species